rnacentral:rRNA from 1 species
UAAGGAAUAUUGGUCAAUGGACGCAAGUCUGAACCAGCCAUGCCGCGUGAAGGAUGAAGGUCCUCUGGGUUGUAAACUUCUUUUAUCUGGGACGAAAACGGGAUUUUUAUCUCAAUUGACGGUACCAGAGGAAUAAGCACCGGCUAACUCCGUGCCAGCAGCCGCGGUAAUACGGAGGGUGCGAGCGUUAUCCGGAUUUACUGGGUUUAAAGGGUGCGUAGGUGGGCUUAUAAGUCAGUGGUGAAAUCUCCGAGCUUAACUUGGAAACUGCCGUUGAUACUAUAGGUCUUGAAUUAUCUGGAGGUAAGCGGAAUAUGUCAUGUAGCGGUGAAAUGCUUAGAUAUGACAUAGAACACCAAUUGCGAAGGCAGCUUACUACAUAUAAAUUGACGCUGAGGCACGAAAGCGUGGGGAUCAAACA